AUGAAGACAUGUCCGCCUCAUCUCCUUGGUCUCCUCCGAUUCUACAAAACAAGCAGCAAGACCACCACCAAAGUCGGCAAAAAGGCCCACAUUAAUCAAGUAUUUUCAACAUUGAAUCGUGUGAAAUCUGGAUCGAUUGUUGAGCCUAACAUCGACAAUAUGGAAAGAAAUAUACCGUCCGACAAGAAGAAGCCCGAGGAAACACAUGGUUCAAUGUCAACAUCUACAAGUGCCAUCGAGCUUGCAGAAAUUGGCAUUAAGCUGAAAGCCAGCAAGUCAGGAAGUUUCACAGAAAUCGGCAUCAGGAAAGGACCCCUCUUUGGCGAGCUUUUCUUGACGCCACUGGUACUAAGCAGUACAAGGACAUGCUGGCUUGUAAACAUGGCGGCUUUCGAGCUAUGCACAACCUCAGGGGAUCUUGAUUGUGAAGAAGAGACGGCUGUCUGCUCAUACCUCGCUCUCCUUUCUAUGCUCAUGGACCGGGAGGAGGAUGUACACGAGCUACGGACGAAGCAUCUUGUGCAAGGACAACUCACAAACAAAGAGAUUCUCCGGUUCUUCAAGAGCCUUACAAAGCACCUGUCCGUUAGCAGCUCCUACCUUCGCAUCCUGAGACGCAUUCAGAAAUACAAGGUCAACCGGUGGAUGUGGAUCAAGGUGCACAAGUUCAUCUACAACAAUUUCAAAACCAUUGUCACGGUCUUCACCGUGGUUGGUGUUCUAGUGGGCAUCUUCAAAACGCUACUCUCUCUCAAGCAACACCAGUAA
rnacentral:rRNA from 1 species